rnacentral:lncRNA from 1 species
AAAAGGAGGAAAGGUGUCCUGCUGCAGUGCAUGGUGGAAGCAGUGCACACAGUUUCUACAAAGCUCUUCAUCCAGAAAAAAAUACAAAACAACGACUGAGUUUAUCAUAGAGACAACACUUGCACACAGACAAAGUAAGUGGAAAAUCAUAGACCUGCAAGUUGAAUAAAUAGGGCUUGUUCAUAUAAAACAAGUUCCUCUCUAUCUUGCUCACCUACUUCAGGGCCUCUGGCCCAUGCUCAGAAAAAUAAAAGCAGGAGGAGGAGUUUGGCUUUGUGUGAUGGUUAAACUGGGACCACAGAGCUUCAGUGGAAAGCUGAGGUCUGAAGCAUCCAUUUGCUUCAGCUGAAACACUCAGAAGGAGUAGCAGAAAGAGGAAACAGGUAAGAGGGGAGUGAUGGGGCUGGAAGAGGGGAAUCUGGCAUUUCUGCAUGGGCUGCAGUGCUGCAUACGACGAGCAAAAAAAGUAGCAUCGUGUGGCUUUUUGUCAGGGUGGGUGUUGCAUUUUGUUGUUUCUUUGGGAAACUUAUUUAGGGAAGUGCCAUUGACCUCAGGUGGAAAUAGGAUAAGGGCCAUCCAGAACAGGAAGGGAGGGAGCAUCUGAGAGCAGAUAGAGUGCACACAAAAUGAGGGGAAGUGUUCCAAAUAACUGGUUUUCCUUUCACAAAGUGAAAAGCAAAUCAAAUGACACGUCUGUCGUCAUUCCCCACGGAGCUGGGCAGACGCAGGGUCAAGGAAAUCACGCGGCCAAAAAUGCGUCGUCAUCGUCGCUACUUUUCCCUACAGCUCCAGCAAACUCCAGCCAGUGCUAGGGCAGCAUUUAAAGGGCUCUCUGUGCCCAGGCACAGCAGCCAGGCAUCGGGAGUGAUCCCAAAAUCUUCUGCAGAUCUGCUGAGGUCUGGUGCACCCACCACCAUGAAUAACUUUGGGACAGAUUGGGGAAGGACGUCUACAUCAGAAAGGCAGAACAGGUUGUUAUAUAGGUCGAGAGAGCAAAGUUAAACUUCAGUAUCACGUUAUACUACACUACACUGCUUAUAAAAAGGGUCCUACAUCCCAAACACCCCAAAUAAUGAGCUAUCAUUUUGUACAUAAAUUAAUGCUGCUUUGAAGUAAAAUAGUCUCUUUCUUUUGUAUUAAACAUUCAUUGCACAGAAUUCUUUGUAAGUAAAUAUAUUAAAUUUGGUUGCUAAGAAGGUAUAAAUGUAUCUUAUUAAUACAUCUGGCCAGUAAAUUUUAUCCAUCAUCACACAACUGAAAGUUUCCUUUAGAGAAAAUUAUUACUGGAGAGAAGAAUGCACUUGGAAGUCAACUCAGGAGUUAACGCUGGAAGAAAUCCUGUUAUUUCAUUCCACCCACAGCAAGCGGCUUCUUCCGGCUGCAACAUUAAUUGGAAGUACAGACCCUGUCCAGCCCUGCCGAGAUGGAGGCAUCCAGCUUCAUAGCUCGCAAGCCUCUUGUCACUGAAGCAGUCGCACCCUUUCAGGACAUGCAUUAUCUCCACCGACACUGUCCAAGGGGUAAUGUUUUGGGUCAAGAUCAUUACUUCUCCUGGGAUGGUGCCCGGCACGAGGGAGUCUCUGGAAGGUCCCUGUGCAGGAGCAAGCUCACCUCUGUGAAAAUGGCCCUCAGAUCCAUCUCCAGACAGGGAGACAAAGAGGAUCCAGCAAAGCACAAUAUGUGUAGAACUCAUCCCACUGCAGGCCGUGGUCUUGGAGAUGGCUGUGCGACCAGAGCUGAGGGGCUGGGCUGGGUGAGGGCUCCCCAGGGGCAGGAGCCUGGCCCUCUUCCACUUUCACUUGUGGCUCGGAGAGGACCUCGCACCAGGUGAAAAGGCUCCGCAAAAGAAAGGGGAGGUUGGGCCAUGCCAUGGAGCUCCCUUCACCCACCCAACCACUGUGUGGCUUGGGCUGAGGGAGGAAAGGCUGAGCCUCUGCAUCUAUUUUAUACACAAAACAUACCAAAGGAAUAGUUACGACAUCUUCUAUGAACAAGGUGGGACAAAUCCAGCCUAAGCAAAAGCAGGAGCCAUUUCGCUGCCUUCGGUGGAGAGCACAGCUGGACCUGGUCCCCAGAGAGCACACAAACAGCACAACCCACCCAACCAAAUCUGCAAUAAACAGCCUCACUCCACGAACACUAGCGACUAGCUAUUCCAGUUCAUCAAUGUACAGCAAGAAAGUGUUUCUGAAACUUCUGAGCCUUACUGAAAAGAUAGUUAGCACAAGGCUGGUUCAGCUCAAUUUGCACAGGUUGGCCAAAGGGAGAGAUCUGCUCUGAUCCGCGCCCAGGCGGCAGCCUGGAGAUCCCGCGUAGCGAUGGAGGCUAAUCUUACACUUGCAUCUCUAUACAAAAGUUACAAAAUCAAAUGGUGACAUUAUAUUACAACUAUUGUCCAUAAUAUCACAGUGCUAGUUUUAAAUGGCUAAAAACAAUAAAGGUUUUAGAUUUAAGACACCCCUUCUGGAGAAAUGUAACCCCUUGGUCCUGCUGUUGAUACCUGAAAGCAGCCUUGCUUAACAAAGGUAAAUCCAAUGAGAUGUGCUAAUUGAAACUAGGAACAUUUUUCCUUUGUAAUCUCAAAUCUGUGGUGCAUUUCCUAACACGUCCCUUUGUUUCCCACAGACAAACUAAACAAAUAAUAUGAAUCUCAGCCUGAAAGUCAAAAUGUUGAAAAGAACAGUUCUAAAGCCCAUACACUUCCUACCAGGUACUAACUAAAUAAAACCCUUGCAAAUUUAAAUACAGAUUAGUUUGAUAUAUCUUCAGAGUGUUAGCUUGUCAACAACAUUCACAAUGAAGUUUCACUUCUGAGGCCAUGGAAUUCCUACUCAUCCUUUUCAGUUCUGCUUUCAAGAGUAUCUGUGCUGUCUUCCACUUCUGGAGCUGGAUGCACUAAAGUAUCUGCAAAGAAAUGGUUUGUCAGUAUUGAUUCCCCCAUACUGUACAACAGCCUUCAUGUGACUCCCUGCUCCAUGAGGCAGAUGAUCUGCUGGGCACUCAGCCUUGAAAUUGGUAAUUUGUUGUACUUGCAAACCAAUAGUUAAACCUGGAGUAAUGUACUCUGAGUGCAUCGCCGCCUGACUUCACAGGGGAAUUCAGACCUUGGGAUGGGUAUUAAUGAGAUGAGGUGACGACCCUUUUCAUUAAAAGCAAGAGAGCCACCAAAGUGGGAGGGCUGCCUGCUGUCUAAGUGCUCAAAUGUUUCCUCCUGAAGACGUAGCAAGUCCUAAUGUCACUGCACAAAAACAACACAGAGGCCAUCAUGCGCCUGUGGUCCAAGCCAUAGAUUGGCUCCUGUUUCUUCUUGAAUGAUACAACCCCGUGGUUGCCUCUGCUAAGGAAUGUUGGCUGGUACAGUAGGUGAUGUGACACUGCAGAAUCAGACCUUGUGUCAUUGCCCCUCUGAAGGCAUGGGAAGGUGCAUCCUGCACCCCAUCCUAGCUGCUGUCUCUGGGCAUUCGUGGGGCUAAUGUUGUUGCAUGGAAAUGGAAACCGUGUCACUCGUUAAGGGGAAAUGAGAACACUGAGAUGGAAAAAAAGCCACCAGAAAUAGAGUGCAAACUACACUAACAAGGUCUUAUCUUUAGGCAUAUUUAGCCCACAGUGACCCUAUUAUCGUAUCUACAUAUUUGUGAGCUCCU